UGUUGAAUAUUUAGCGUUUUGAAGAAAUUGGUUUUAUAUUGUUUAUAUUACAAAUACUUUAGAAAAAUAUGGGAUAAUUUGACAGAAAAUUAUAAAGAUGGGUAUAGACCCACUUUCUGCCUUUUUACUGGGUACCUGCUGUUGUGUAUGUUGGCUAUAAAGAAAACCAUAAACACUAAUCUAUGGUUGCUCUAGCUUGUCUAUUGCCGCUGUGUUUGUCUCUGCCCGUGAUCCCGUUGCCGAUGUUGAUAAUACGGGAUCAAAGGCCCUGUCCUAGUCCACAGAACCCUCAAUAUAGAGCUGAGACUGGGUUUCCGGGCGGUUUGAGAAGCAGUCUAAGAACAUUCCCAUUUGACUUCAGUGGACAACGAUAUAACGUAAUUUGGGAUAAUAAUGAUUUAGUCUUUCAGCCGACGAGUAAAGCUUUAGUUACUGAGUGAAAUGUCCUUGUAAUUUGUGCGUUUUGUAUUAAAUUAUUUCAAAUGUU
rnacentral:lncRNA from 1 species